rnacentral:lncRNA from 1 species
UAGUAUAGACUCAUAAGAGAAAGACAUCACAAAACCAUUUAAAGAAAAUAAUGUAGACUUAUUUUUGUACAUUUAGAUUGCAAAAUUACAUAGGGUACUAAGCUGUAAAGAUGAGAAACAAUAAGAGAAUCGAAACAAAUCAUGCAACAAACAAUAUACAUAACACGAUUGAAAGAGUACCUUUAAGUCACUAUCACAUGGCCAACCUUUUUUUUGUUUU